CAGAGGGACUUCCCUGGUUGUCCAGUGGUUAACAAUCUACCUUCCAGUGCAGGGGACACAGGUUCGACCCUGAUUAGGGAACUAAGAUCCUACAUGUCAUGUGCAACUAAGACCCAACACAGCCAAAUAAAUAAAUAAUUUUUUUAAAAAUUCCAGAAACCACUCCCACCUCUAGCCUCAGAUACUUUGCCUUUGAGUCCCACAAAGGCAGAAUGGGGUGCCCCAAGCCUGAGCUGAGGAGAGCUAGAGGUUGAAGGUGUAACCCUGGCCCCACCGGGCACGAUGUGCAGUGCAGCUGUGCAAUGAGGCUCCUGGUUUCCCUUGCUCUUACUUUGGAAUCUGAGCUGGAGAACUUGGAUGUGAUGCCAUCUACUCAAGCCACGAGGUGCCAGACCCUGUUCUUGGACACUGAGCUAUUAAAGAUGAAUACAACAGCAUCUUUGUUCUCAAGCUGACCCGCUUCAAACUCCCACUAGUUUGAGAGCUGUCUUUUUUUUUUUGCCAGAAAGCUGGGCAGGUUCUUCAGGGUCAGGAUCUCCAUGAACAGUUGUGCAGGUUGAGCACCGCACCAAAGGCCCCAACUGAAAGGCAGUGGGACUGACGUCUAGUCCAUACUCCUCUUGCUUAUUUAUGAAUCCUGAUCCAGGCUGUGGCUACCUGGAGGAAAAGGCACAAAACCACCCCACAGGCUAGCAACAGCCCUCAGGGGUCCAUGUUCCCAAGACCUGAGUCAGAGCUGAGGAGGAAGCUGGACAGCAGAACCAUGGGGAGCCUUGAAAUGCUAGCCAAAAAACCAGGAUCUCCAAACCCAGCAGCAGGGAGAGGAGAGAGCAAUUUUGUGUCAGUGAAAAAGGCUGAAGCCUUAGUCAGAAGCCAGAAAGAGCCUGGAAACCAAGACACAUGAAGUCAAAGGAGGUGGGUGAGGGGGCAGGGCGUGGGGCAAUCUACCCAGGAUGGGCAGGGAAACUGCCCAUUGGCUCUCUGCCCAAUCCUGGGCCCUCUCCUGCCCUGCUCAGUGCUUCAAGGACUGCCUUCCCAGCCCCUCCUACCCUCUGGUUGCUGGGCAGUGCUCUGCACAAACUCCAGCCCUGGCCGCAUGCCCUUCCCUUCAUCUCCACCAGCCCCACUGUUUCAGAACUCAAUCCAGGGGGCACCUGGCCGAGGGCAGCGUUUUUAGCUCACAGAAGACAUAGUUAA
ensembl:lncRNA